AGUUUCAGCAGUUGUGCAGAACGCCACAACAGCGACAACUUUCCCAUGUACCCACUGCUCCGCUGUUCAGAUCACUUUCACAGGAUUUCAAAGUUCACCUCGACCCUGUGAGAGAAGAACAAGUAUUGUCAGCCACAUUGUGCAGGAAAUCGAAGCACCACAACUGCAUCAAAAAGUAGAGGGGCUUCUCUGGUGGUGCAGUGGUUGAGAGUCCGCCUGCCGAUGCAGGGGACGCGGGUUCGUGCCCCGGUCCGGGAAGAUCCCACAUGCCGCGGAGCGGCUGUGCCCGUGAGCCAUGGCCGCUGAACCUGCGCGUCCGGAGCCUGUGCCCGCAACGGGAGAGGCCACAACAGUGAGUGGCCCGCGUAACACAAAAAAUAAAAAUAGAAAUAAA